GACAGUUGCGCCCUCCGGCUCCUCCGGGCGCCGGGAGCCGCCUGCGGCGGGCUCGGUGCCGCGAUCGCCGGCCGGGUGAACGCGCGGGGCGGGACUAGGGCUGUGCGCAUCCUGGGCUGUCAAGUCCAGCCUGUGCCCGGGGGGAGGGGGCGUCCCCAGGGCUGCAGGCUUGGGUGGGGGCGUCGACGGGCCAGCCUAGGUUCCGAGAACGAAUCGAGGACCGUGACGAGUGCGAUGUUCGCGCCGGCUAACCUUUCCCUUGGUGUUCGGUUGCUGUUCCAGGCCGGCGCGGUGAACAAGCAGGGCGACAGCAUUCUGUGCCGCUGAGCCGCGCUGUCCAGGUGUGCGGCCGCCUGAGCCCGAGCCAGGAGCACUAGAAAGGGAGGGGGAAGAGCAGAAGUUAGAGAAAAAGCCAGCGGAGGAAAGGAAAAAAAAAUCAGCAAAUCCUAGAAACGUCUCAUUCUUCAUUCCAAGAGAGAGAGAGGGAAGAAAAAUAAAAGUUUCAUCUUUUUUUUUUGCACGUUCAUAAACAUUCUACAUACGUAUUCUCUUUUGUCUCUUCAUUUAUAACCGCUGUGAAUUGUACAUUUCUGUGUUUUUUGGAGGUGCAGUUAAACUUUUAAGCUUAAGUGUGACAGGACUGAUAAAUAGGAGAUCACGAGUAAAACCGACUUUAGAAACCUACUUUGUGACCAAGGAGCUCAAUUUUUGUUUUGAAGCUUUACUAAUAUACCAGAGCAUUGUAGAUAUUUUUUUUGACAUCUAUUGUUUAAAAUAGAUGAUUAUAAGGGGGCAGGGAACUUUCUUUUCCCUGCAAGAAUGUUACAUAUUGUAUAGAUAACUGAGUGACAUUUCAUACCAUGUAUAUAUAGAGAUGUUCUAUAAGUGUGAGAAAGUAUAUGCUUUAAUAGACUACUGUAAUUAUAAGAUAUUUUUAAUUAAAUAUUUUUUGUAAAUAUUAUGUGUGUGUUUUUUUUAAUCAUGCAAAUAUUUCUUUUGGAAAAUUAUUUUUCAGCUCAGUUGAAGAGCUCUUGAUAUCUUGAAUGUCUUUUCUGUUUGGCCUGGCUUUUAAUUUGUUUUUGUUUUGCCCAGUGUCUUGUAGACUCGGAAGUAACAGUUAUAGCUAGUGGUCUUGCAUGACUGCAUGAGAUGUUUAAUCACAAAAUAAACUUGUUCUGAGUCCAUUCAGAUGUGUUUUCUUUAACCUAGAUUGAAAUCUUUGUAUUUGAAGCAUACACGUUGAAAAUAUGCUCUAUCAGUUUUUACGUACAGGGUUUGAUAGUGUAAUAUAUAAAGAGUAAGUGUUUGUUUUUCAUUUCUUAACUGAGGUCAACAUGGAUUCUGAAUGAUUUUGCAUAUGGGAUGGGGAAAUGUUUGGAUCCUUAUGAGCUUAUGAAAUCUACUGUUUUAUCAAAGUGAAAAAAAUGCUUAUCAUUCUUCAUUUUACACUGAAGUUUAAUGUCACUAAGUUUCAUGUCUGUACAGAUUAUUUAAAUCAUAAGAAUGAAAAAUGUUCUCUGCUUGCUACCAAAGGACAAACUCUUGGAAAUGAACACUUUCUGCUUUCCUUCCUCCAAAGAAUAUUAAUAGGCAACAGUGAGAGAAAAAAAAAUCUGAAAGGCAUAAUGGCAAAUCCUUCAAGCAGGGAUAAAAGUCGAUCUUCAAACAUUAACUUAAGUAGACCAAAAAUUCUGAUGACCGCAUCUAGAUUAUUUUUUUAUAAAAAUGAUUUUCACUAUAGCUAUGUUAGUUAACCGCUAAACUACUGUCCAAUCUCUUGUGAUGUGUAACUUUUACAUGUGAAUAUUAAAGUAGAUUUAUCUGUCUUGUACUGUGAUUUCUGGUCUCAUUUCUUCAAACCUUACACUUACUUUUGAGACUUUAUUUUGUCUUUAAGGAAGGUACCAUUUUGUAGGUUAGACAGGACCAUCAGGGCUUGUGAACAUUUUGAAUUUAAUGUGAUCAGGACUCUACACACCAGUUAGAUGGAAUUUUUAGAGUGUGAGAGAAUUAAGUAGGAUUUAAUUGGGUGCUUUGUAAAUAGUUAGUCAACUGUGUGUGUAACGUGGUCUGUUUGAUUUUUAAAAGGAAAGGAUUUGUUUCAGAUUAUACAAGAAUAAAAGUAUUAUAGACCCAAGGGAAUUUUUAUGAGGUCGAAGUCAAAUAUUUAUGUGAAUAUGAAAUAUCAUGGCCCUGAGUAGUCAGUCGAAGUAGCAACGUCUCAACAGAAAUGAACAAAGUUAACGCUUACUGGUUUAAAAAAAAAAUUGAAAGAUUUUAAAAAUCUAUCCCCUCUCUCCAGCAUGUUCUCCCCUCGGCUUUGACAUUUCACUGGUCUUAGGUAUUUUUAGAAUUUGAUGUAUUUGCUGUUGCGCCUUCUAAAGUCAAAGGGCUGCUUGUUUAGAUGAGGUUUUAUUUUUAUUUUUGAUAUUCAUUCCUGUCACACAUCAAGAGGAAAACACAAGAACACUGCUGGAAUUCCAAAUCUGAAGAAUUCUAAUGAUGGCAUUCUUUGUUAAUAAGAAAGGGGACAAUUCCUCCUUUUUAUUUGGCAGUUUAAUUUCAGUAGGAAGCAAGUCACAUGGGCUCUGUUGGUUGGAGUCAGGCAUCUGUCAGACCUGACUACCGUACCCUACCUAAGCCUUUAAGCACAGUUUAAACUUAUGCUGGGAGAUUAUGCACCUCAAUAUAAAUAUUUUUGAUUUUUUGAAGAUAGGUGUUGCUCCUUAGUUAAUUUCAUAUUUUAGGCAUGAAAACCACUAAAGGAAGAAAAGUGCUAGAGAUGUGACAUUUGAGAGACUUGGCAUUUUCCCAUCUGCCACUCACACAGCAUUGGAUGUCUCUAAAGAAACAAAGUCACUGUUUAUUUUUCAAAAAUUAUGUGCAGUUGUAUAAGAUAACACAUUCUAUUAGAUGUUGGCUGUGUCCUAAUCAAGUGACCAGAUAACAAAAACAUUUUGAGUCAUUUAUCUAGGUAGCUCUAAUUAUUCAGAUCUUUGGUUUCAUAGAGGAAAACAUCCUGACUUCUCUCAUUUAAUUUGUCCACUUUUAUUGAAUAGGCACAACCAAAGAGUGAGAAUCAUUUAAAACCGUCAAA